rnacentral:rRNA from 1 species
ACACAUGCAAGUCGAGCGGAGNGAGGUGCUUGCACCUUAUCUUAGCGGCGGACGGGUGAGUAAUGCUUAGGAAUCUGCCUAUUAGUGGGGGACAACAUUCCGAAAGGAAUGCUAAUACCGCAUACGUCCUACGGGAGAAAGCAGGGGAUCUUCGGACCUUGCGCUAAUAGAUGAGCCUAAGUCGGAUUAGCUAGUUGGUGGGGUAAAGGCCUACCAAGGCGACGAUCUGUAGCGGGUCUGAGAGGAUGAUCCGCCACACUGGGACUGAGACACGGCCCAGACUCCUACGGGAGGCAGCAGUGGGGAAUAUUGGACAAUGGGGGGAACCCUGAUCCAGCCAUGCCGCGUGUGUGAAGAAGGCCUUAUGGUUGUAAAGCACUUUAAGCGAGGAGGAGGCUACUGAGACUAAUACUCUUGGAUAGUGGACGUUACUCGCAGAAUAAGCACCGGCUAACUCUGUGCCAGCAGCCGCGGUAAUACAGAGGGUGCGAGCGUUAAUCGGAUUUACUGGGCGUAAAGCGUGCGUAGGCGGCUUUUUAAGUCGGAUGUGAAAUCCCCGAGCUUAACUUGGGAAUUGCAUUCGAUACUGGGAAGCUAGAGUAUGGGAGAGGAUGGUAGAAUUCCAGGUGUAGCGGUGAAAUGCGUAGAGAUCUGGAGGAAUACCGAUGGCGAAGGCAGCCAUUUGG